AUAGCACGGUGAAUAUGCCCCUGCUCCUUGCACACACCGCCCGUCAAACCAUCUUAGUUGGGGGUGGGUGAGGCUGCGCUUUAUGGCGUAUUCGAGCCUGCCUUCGACAAGGAGGGUUAAGUCGUAACAAGGUAUCUGUAGGGGAACCUGCAGAUGGAUCACCUCCUAAGAAA
rnacentral:rRNA from 2 species